rnacentral:rRNA from 1 species
CCCUUAGAUGUUCUGGGCCGCACGCGUGCUACACUGAGUGGAUCAGCGGGUCAGGUUGCGCGAAAGCGUUUCCUAAUCUUUAAAUCCGCUCGUGAUGGGGAUUGACGGUUGCAAUUUUCUGUCAUGAACGAGGAAUACCUUGUAAGCGCGGGUCAUCAUCCCGCGCUGAAUACGUCCCUGCCCUUUGUACACACCGCCCGUCGCUCCUACCGAUUGAAUGGUUUAGUGAGAAUUUUGGACUGGAACUCCCUUGCUCAGCAAUGGGCGAGGGGGAGUCCGGGAAGCUAUUCUAACUGUAUCAUUUAGAGGAAGUAAAAGUCGUAACA